UUGGAUAUCAGAAUUAGUACACAAUGGAAUUUGAUGUUUAUUGUAAAUUCAGUUAACUGAUCCAAGAUUACGAUGACAGGAUUGGGGUAGCAGCCUAGUACUUCAGGUUUACAAAUAGCUGAAAAACAAUUGUCCGCUAUGUACUUGGCUACGCUUGAGGAGAAAAUGUAGGUGCACCUUGAAACUAAAAUAAGAGUAAACUCAAAAAGUAGGAGGGAUAUACCAACAUGACACAAUAGGAAAACGAGAUCUUUGUGUUCACUUUAGGUACGAAUUUGCCGCUGAAUCUGCAUUGAAUAUUGCAACAUCUGAUUUUCCAUGCAGUAUUGGAUUCCUCUUAAAAGAUUCCCUGUCUUCAAAAAUGUGGAGAACUAAUAAACCAAAAGACGGAUGAAUCAUAAUUAUUGGUCCCAGUAUAAGAAAUCAUCAAUCCUCACAAAUAAAAAUAAUAAACCAAAUCAUGGAUACAUGAAAGCUCUAACUCAGAAUUCUAAUGAUCAUAAUCAGUUAACCACCUCAUCAAAGUUACCAACACGCGUGCAGGCUUAAGCCACGAUCAUGAGGCAAUAGGUGGUGCACACAGGAGCAUUUUACCAUUCGCAUGCUUAGAGAAAAAAGAUCUAUGGGUUCAAGAGUAGGCACAUAUAACGACAUAUAUAAUCUGAUGUACACUUACAUAGACACACCCGCACAAGGAAUUUGGGCUGGCAUACCAUAUGUUGAUUAAUACGACUUUGGGCAAGGCUGCAUAUGGGGACAAAUGGCGGAGAGGAGAAUUUCUAGCUUUUAAUAAUUAGCAACCUGUCUUACUGAACCUACUCAAAUGGCACAUCAUAUAGCGAACUACAGAUAAACAUAACUGGCAAGAAAAAAUUCUACCAUGGAAAUUAUAUCCGGAGAAAGAAGAAGCUUAUAGAUAAACCAUCCUAAUAACAGAGCAGGCAGGAUCCGUAGCAUUCCAUUCAUAGUCAAGAACAACGAGAAUAGUACGCAAAUCCUGGUAGGUGAGGCCGUUAAACUCUCUGCAUAGGCAUCGAUGACUCCGUGGGUGGCAGCAACCUGGCGUCGAAUUUCAAUGGCUACGAACUAUCAGAUCAACUGUACCUACAAAGCUACCAAUAAGAAAUCAGGUAAGGAAAUAAGAGAAUAAUCAGAUUAACUUUUCUAGGAACGCAUGAUCCAAAUGAUAUGGAACUUGAAAUGUUAAGGAAUUAGGAGAGGAAGAGGAAGUGGAUUCAACUUGAGGAAGAAUAGAAGAUUGAAAAUGAGGAGAAGAAGAAGUGAAGCGAAAUGACAUGCAUGGAAUAAUUACGAGAUGGGAACGGGGUUGCUUAUCACCAGCAACUAAAUAGACGGGGCUGGCUUUCAACUGUUGUCUCUAUAGGUAGGGGAAAAACUGACCUUUUUCAAGGGAGAGAGGCUGAGUUUUGAUCGGCUGUUGCGGUUCGUGUAGAUGACAGAACUGCAAUUGGACAACACAAAUCAGUGGAUGAGCUGAUUGAGCUGAUGUGCAAUCAGCUCAUCCUUCCGAUCAGUUGGAUUAUACAUCGUCUUCUUCUUGUUUAAUUUAAUUGACAUCUAUGCAUAAUAACUAACAACAUAUACCGUAAUAGAAUUCAGAUAGGUUGAAUUACAUAAUAUCACGCUAACCUUGUACCCUCAAAUGGGUGUUCGCCAACAUACUUACUGAUUUUUAGAUAUGAAAUACUUGAAGUACCUUAAAGCUAACAGAUGGCGUCGCUGUAGUCCUUGGCAGCAAAUCCACCAGCAACAGAAAAGGGAAGAACUUCUCAUGGCUGAAUCAGUCGGGGUCGCACCCGCGGGAGGAGAUGUACUCUAGAUGAGAAUGGUGCGCAGUCGGGAUGGGCAACAGUCGCGUCCAGUCCAUAUGGCUGAGCCCGAGUCGCCACCACAACAUCUUUCCAAACCGGAAAGGAGGCCGUACCCGGACCAAGCUCCGGACGUCAACGCCAGUCCAACUGGAACUGGCUCGAACCAACCUCCCCAGCGACGCCGGAGGCACCUUGGCUAGAACAGAGACACAGAAGCGAGAGGAGGACGAGGGGAUCGCAGAGGCAUGCACCACAUCGAGAAC
rnacentral:lncRNA from 1 species